AGCGAACGCUGGCGGCAGGCCUAACACAUGCAAGUCGAACGAAGUCUUCGGACUUAGUGGCGGACGGGUGAGUAACACGUGGGAACGUACCUUUUGGUUCGGAACAACUCAGGGAAACUUGAGCUAAUACCGGAUGAGCCCUUAGGGGGAAAGAUUUAUCGCCGAAAGAGCGGCCCGCGUUAGAUUAGCUAGUUGGUGAGGUAAAGGCUCACCAAGGCUACGAUCUAUAGCUGGUCUGAGAGGAUGAUCAGCCACACUGGGACUAAGACACGGCCCAGACUCCUACGGGAGGCAGCAGUGGGGAAUCUUGCGCAAUGGGCGAAAGCCUGACGCAGCCAUGCCGCGUGAAUGAUGAAGGUCUUAGGAUUGUAAAAUUCUUUUACCAGGGACGAUAAUGACGGUACCUGGAGAAAAAGCCCCGGCUAACUUCGUGCCAGCAGCCGCGGUAAGAC
rnacentral:rRNA from 1 species